GACGAACGCUGGCGGCGUGCCUAAUACAUGCAAGUAGGACGCAGUUGCGAACGGGUGAGUAACGCGUAGGUAACUACCUAUUAGAGGGGGAUAACUAUUGGAAACGAUAGCUAAUACCGCAUACUAGUAGAUGGACCUGCGUUUUAUUAGCUAGUAGGUAGGGUAAUGGCCUACCUAGGCAACGAUACAUAGCCGGCCUGAGAGGGGGGUCGGCCAAACUGGGACUGGAACAAGGGCCAGACUCCUACGGGAGGCAGCAGGAGGGAAUCUUCGGCAAUGGGGGGAAACCUGACCCAGCAACGCCGCGUGAGUUAAGAAGGUUUUCGGGUCUGAAAGCUCUGUUGUUAAGGAAGCGGUACUUAACCAGAAAGGGACGGCUAACUACGUGCCAGCAGCCGCGGUAAUUC
rnacentral:rRNA from 1 species